rnacentral:misc_RNA from 1 species
AAAGAAAAAGAAUGUGGUGUUGGAAGUGAUCAAAGAUAUUCCCGCCUGGCCGGGACGCCACUUGCUUGAGGGUGGUGAGAAUCGGCGAUAUUUCGCGUUGAAGACCGUGUUGCGGGGUGUUGUGGAGUUUGAAUGUCUGAGCCAGAGGGAAUAUGAGAUGUGGACUCAAGGCGUGUCAAGGCUUCUGGCCAUCGUAGAAGAAAGAAACAAUAGGCACAGAAUUUAACUUUUAUACAAAAAGGGACGAAAGCUUGGCAAAUGGGAAUGGGAAAACUGGGAUAAUAGGAAAUAUAUGGCCCUAGACCCUAGUGAACGUUAUGAUGUUAAUUAUUAGAUGGGCUAUACUUUCGUAUUUUGCUGUUUUGUAAAGGAGGAGAAAUCAAAGAUUUUAAUUAUUAGAUAUCCAUGUAAGGAGUCUUCUUUCUUUUUUGCGUUUAAGUGGGAAUAUGUUAAUUGUUUUUGUACUGGAAAAGUAAAAGUGUUAUGAAUCACAAGGAAGCAGAAGCCAUGUGAUGAAAGCAUUUGUUUCUUUCAGUGAACAGGCAAUGAAAGGAGUAACUUGGACUGGGGUGGUCAAAAAGGGAAUGAAAGGAAGAGGAGCUCAUUUUGAUGAUAGUAGAUUAUACAAUUAAAUACAAGAUAAUGGCACUGUUCUUAGUUUUUAUAUAUCUGUGGCCCUGGUUUUUCUCCCUCAACUUUGUUCUAUGGCAUUUGCUUUAAGGUACUUUGGAGUGGUGAACCCGUGGAGCCAUGAUUGUGUAGUUUUGUUAUCUUCCACUUUCUCCAUUUGUUUCGAGUUUUUGUAAAUUAUUAAGUAGGAUAGGAUAGGAUAGGAUCCUCAAUGUCUGAGGAAUGUAGGGAAUUAAUGUGAUUUUAGAGACAGUCCGCAACUUCGACCAAAUUUUCUUUUAGCCCUAAAA